rnacentral:misc_RNA from 1 species
CACAAUAAAAUAUGAAGGCUGUACGCGGCUGUGCUCUCGGGCCAGUUUUGCGGAGGCUGAAUUAUUUAUUACCCUUGUCUUUUGCGCACUUGUUGUUUCCUGGGCGGGUUCGCCCGCCACCAGGACCACAUCAUAAACCUUUUUUAUGCAGUUGCAAUCAGCGUCAGUAUUACAAAUGUAAAUCAUUUA